rnacentral:rRNA from 1 species
UACUUGCCCUCGAGACCGGGAUAGUGUCGGGAAACUGGCAGUAAUACCGGAUAACAUCUUCGGAUCAAAUGGUGUGAUUCCGCUCGAGGAUAGGACCGCGUACUAUUAGCUUGUUGGUGAGGUAACGGCUCACCAAGGCUGCGAUGGUUACCGGGUGUGAGAGCAUGGCCCGGCUCACUGGGACUGAGACACUGCCCAGACACCUACGGGUGGCUGCAGUCGAGAAUCUUCGGCAAUGGACGAAAGUCUGACCGAGCGACGCCGCGUGCGGGAUGAAGGCCCUCGGGUUGUAAACCGCUGUCAGUAGUUAGGAAAUCCAUGGGGGUUAUCCCUCAUGGUUGACCGAUCUUCAGAGGAAGGACGGGCUAAGUUCGUGCCAGCAGCCGCGGUAAGACGAACCGUCCAAACGU